GCAAUGUAUACUUCUAUAGUUAUUGACUUUAUUGCUUGACACAAAUAAAUGAACUUUAAGCAUAUUAUUUAAUGUGUUAAUUAAGGAUUAAACAUUUUUUUGUGAUUUGAUUAAAAGCAAAGAACUUCAUAAUAGGUAAGUGAUAUCGUACACAAUGUGAUAGAUUGUAUAAUUUGUUUAUAUAUAAUGGUUUAAGUUAAAAGUGACUUAUUUAUUCGUGUAUUAUUGUGCAUUAUGAUUUUCAGAAAGUUUAAAAAGAUACAAUUAAGGGUACGCAAGGACAGGCGAAUAAAAAUUCAAUUGAAUCUUCUUAUGUAGGAAUCUUUUCGCUAUUUUAUACAAGGAACUUAGUAAAUAAUUUCUUCUGCGAUGUGAUUUUAUCCCUAUUAAUAACUUUAUAAAAUAAAUGUACAAAAUAUAUCAAAACAAAUAACCUUUAUUUGAAGAAAGUAAUCCGAGGUCUCAUUUAACUCACAACAGUUCAUGUAUACUUAUAUGUAGAUCAAGCAGGUUGGAAACAUUAUUGAAAAAGAAAGGUAUCAGAAUUACUGUAAUUAUUUCAUAUUAAGUUUUCUGUUACAUAGGUUAAGGUAUAAAGAACGUCAUAGAUUAUGCGCCAUAUGUGUUAAUUAUGAUUGAAAAUAACCAAAGUGAGACUCAUUUUGAUGAUAAUAUAUACUUAAAAAACUGAGUUUUUAAAUUUAAACUUUUUAUCUAAUAUUAGAAGGGAUAAAAUCACGACGCUUUUCAUGAUUCAAUAUAAAAAUAUCCAAAAGAUCAAUAGUUUAUGCUUUAAAUUUAAAAAAAUAUUUUUUUAGGAAUUAAGAAAUUCUUGUAUAUAAAACAAAUAUUUUGUGUAGGUAUAAUUCAUUUUAAAAUCGGUUACCGAGUAGCAGUUUUAUGUGGGCUGGAGGAGGUCAGUUAUGCCAAAUGUCAUUGUGCGUUUGCAUCCAGUCUAUAUUGGUAAUGAAUAAAAUGAAGCAAUGUCUAUCCCAGUUCACCUUUGCCACAGUCGCGAUGAUAUUCCCCGAAUGAACAAACAAAAAAACUUCAUUAUAUUUGAAUGAAAAAAAAAAAAAAAAAUGAAAAUGCACAAAUUCAUUAGUUAGAUGUCGCAGUUUAAACGGUGUCCUUUAUACAAUAUGUCCUCGUAUUUUUUCAUGAGCCAUGACGUGGGCAGUAUCUAAUAAUAUGAUGAAACGGAUUACAUCUUUGAUGAUAGUACAGCUUCUUAUCCGAUUUGACGUUUAGCAACCGACAAUCUAUUAUUCUUAUACAAUUUUUACUUUACUCGACUGGUUGAUUUAUUAACUAUCUUAUCCAUCAGUUCUUCAUUGGUCAAAUUCAGUUAUAACAUCAAAUGUUCUGGUUUGUUGUAAAAGGGACUUCGUGAAAAAAUGGCGACCUUGUCUGAUAAUGACGAAGAAGAGAACAAGAAAAAAAACUUGUCUCUUCUGUGUCAUCCACAAUUUAUUGUUUUAAUGGACGAAUAUGUUUUUUUAAUGAAUUCCAUGUAGAUAGUUCUUUCAUUAUAGAUCAUUUGUUGAAGGAUUGUUUAUUUAAUUAUGUUCUGGUAAAUUGAUGUUUAUCUCAAUGACAAUACAAAGUAUAGUCAAUUUGGUAGAGGCUUCUUUACCUUAAGUUAUUGUCCAGUUCGCGAAUGUUUUUAUUUCAUCAUAUAAAAAAGAGAUAUAUGUUUAUUCCAGGACAACGCAUUGUAGAGCAAUUAUUAUUUCGUUGCAGUAUAUUCAAUAAAUGGUUGUUUGCGUUCUGAAACUUACUUUUGGUCCAUUGUGACGGGCUGUUUAUAUUAAUGUAGUUUGAUGAUUGGUUUUAUGUCAUUAUAGUCUACUUUUUGAAUGUCCGUUUAUUUAAGUAAGGAUUCAUAUUCUAAAUAUUUAGUGCAUACUAUAAUGUAUCUUGCAAUGUAUCUUUCAUAAACCAUUUGAAGUACUUACAAGAAAGGACCGAUUGUUUUGUGCAUUAACUGAAUGUUACGAAAGAGAAUGACUCUUACUCGACAUAAAUUGUUGUUAUCCCUAAGCAAAAUUAACAAAAUGAAAUACGUUCAUUUGCAUUUACAAUCAUUUCCAUCAUCACUUCAGAAUAAAGUUGUAUUUAAGAUACAUAAAGGAAGAAUUUAUGAGUAUGAACUGCAUGUAAUUGAGACAACAGCAUUACAUAAAGGUGAUUGAAAACAUAUUUUUAAAUUAAGGAUAUGUUGUAUGAAUGCCAAUGAGACAAUUAUACAACAGUAAUAUACAUACAUAUAUAUUAUUUUCUGUGACUGUAUCUUGCAUUAAUUUGUAGAAUCCUUACUAUAGAAUGAGCUGAUCGUAACAAUAACAUCUCCAUGCCUUAUAUAUCAUUGUACUUAUACGACGCUAGAUUAAAACUGACGAGGAAAGGUAAACACGGCCACCGAAAGCAUUAUUAUUGUGAAGCCCAGGUGGUCGUGUGGAUUUGGUGUCACGAUAUCUCAGUUGCAUGGGUUCGGAUCCCGGCGAGGGAAGAACAAAAAAAAUUGCGAAAGCAAAUUAACAGAUCAAAAGUACAAAACAGUCAUACAAUUUCCAGGAUAAGAUCACAAAUUCCAAAUACGUAGUGUAUCAUAGCUUCACACGUUUGUGCUGAAUAAAACAUAUUUCGUUCAUUAACGAACAACAACCAGAACAGACUACUUACAUCAGUAAUUUAAUCAAUUUUUAGUUCCAUAUAUGAACUUAUUGACCUUUUUAUUAUAGAAUUGGAAAUUUAAAGAUGUUAAAAGUCUCAUCGCGCAAUCAUCAAUAAAACUGCUUUCUAAACUAAUUCUUGAUGAUGACGUCUUCCUUAACAAUAUUAGACUUAACAUUUUUUCCACUGGUUGGUUCCGAUAAAAAAUGUCUAUACCGUUUCUACAAGUGUCUUGAGAAAGAACACAAAGACCUUUUCAAGGAAAUGGUUCUGUAAUCAAGUCUUCUGAGACAUACAUUUGUUUGCUAAAGCGCGGUAAACUAAUCCCCGCUAAGCAACGUUAAACUAAUUCCCGCCAAAACUAAUUCUUACCGAGCAACGUUGAAUUAUCUCAACAUUCCUACAUUCAAAUUAACUUCUAAAUUCGAUAUAAGCCUUAAUAAGCUUGUUGUUUGAUUACAGUUUAGACUAUUGAUUUCAUCACUGUAUAUGUUGAUGAUUUGUACUUACUAAAGUGCUCAUGUUUUAUUUCGCUAAUCACCUGUCAUAAUAUAGUGUUCAUGUUUGAUUCCAACACUUUAAUCGUUGUUAAUACUGGUCAAUAAAUCUAGAAAAUGUAUUGUCAAUGCAUGUUAGAAUCUUCAAUACAUCUGAUAACCCGUCGUGAUGAAAUGAAAAAGUUCGAUAGCAUCAAUUCUUCUUGCAGCUAGCAAGAUUCGACAAACUAGAUAAUCCGUUUUCCAACAUCGAUGAAAUUUAUAUAAUUUAGUCCAAAUAGAGUUGAGUUAACAUCAUAGGGGAAAAACCAAACCCACCAACCAAGCAUUUUAUCUGUCCUUCAAAUAGUCAAUGAUUUAUAAAAGAACAAGUAUUAAAAAUGGAUAAAAUUGACAGAAAAGUCACAAACACUUUAAAGAUAAAAAGUAGAGACAAAUUCGAUAUUAACAAAAAUUUAUUAUCAAAUCAGAACAACAGGGAGAAAUGGAGUUAGAGGGUAUCUUUUGUUUCACAUAUACCUCAGAAUCAUUACUUUUAUAAAUCUUCCUGCUUCAAUUAUCAAUUAUCUAAGAUUACGAUAGUUUGUACAUCAAUGAUUUAAGAUAACGAUAGUAAAUAGCGACUUAUACCUUUGUUAACUAAUUAUAUAUAUAAAUGGUAUUGGAAUAUAACAAUAUAUUUAGUUCGAACCUGUUGUAUGACACCUAGCACACUCUUCUGACAUGGCGAAAAUCACAAAUGCUUCUUUGGUACUUACUUUGUGCUAAUCUUAGCGAUUACCUUAACCGUAUUUGGCCCAACUUUUAGGAAUUUGGGUCCUCAAUGCUCUUCAAUUUUGUACUUUUUGUUUGGCUUUCUAACUUUUUUGAUCUGAACGUCACUGAUAUGUAGAGGAAACGGGCGUCUGGCGUAUUUAAUUAUAAUUCUGGUACCUUUUUUGCACACAUAAACUACUUUUAGUGAUUUUUUAUUUUGUCAGAAAAUGCUGAAUGAAAUUAUUGAAUCAGAUUGAUCAUUAUUUUGUUUUUUGACAAAUUUUGUAUCUAUUUAAAAUGUCACACAACUAGGUUAAUCUAAAGCAUAGACGGUAGUUUUUCCAAAGCGUUUCAUUGCAAUUAAUUUUACCACAUAAAAUAUGACAUUUUGCCAAGGUUAUGGUGCUGAGGGAAGGACUAAUUGAAAGACGUGAAAAAUAAUACAUCUUCACAAAUCAGUAUAAUGAAUCACCUAUCAAAGACAUUUUCAUAGAAGAUGAACAUAAUCAUAUUCAUAUGGCAAUGCUACUCAAAUGGUGUAAUUUAUAACCAGAAAAACUGUACAACCCUUUAUACAACCAUUUUUUCUCAUCAUGACAUCAGUCUAUAUAAAAAUACUUUUUCUUAAACCGAUUAGAUAUGAUAAUAUUCAAAAGUCAAUUGGCAUUAUAAAAGACUAGACGUACCAUACAUACACUGCAAAAGAGAGGCGAAAGAUGUCAGAAGGAAAUUCACACUCAAAAGUCUAAAAUAAACUACAUGUAAUAACGCCAUGGCAAAAAAAAAAAGAAGAAAAGACCAAUAGAAAAAAAAAAUAAAAGAAUGAGCAACAUAAACCACACAAAAAGCUAGAGGUGAUCUCAAGUGCUACGGAGGGGUAAGCAGAUGCCUACAUGUGGCACCCGCCGUGAUAACUAGAGAUAAAGAUGUUGUAAGAUGAAAUCAAUCCAUAUCACUAGAUCUUAGAAAUAUAACUUAAUAUAGAUUAAAUAGCAAGGUGAAAUAAAACUUGAUAACUUAAAUAUAGAUUAAAUAGCAAGGUGAAAACGGACUUCCUUUAUCAAAACCACUGUUGAUAUUAAACCAUUUUGAUAGAAUGUCCAUUUAGAUUUUAUGAACAUAGUGCAUUGCAUCAAUAGAUUUCAUAACCGCAUACAACCUUCUGCCGCACCGAUCAUGUUUAGCAUUAUCCACAACAUGUUUCAGUCAUGACAUCAUUAACCCUUUAAAAAAUAAAUAAUAGCUCAAAAAGAAGAUUUGCAGAGCCGUUUCUAACAUCAGUUAUAUUUGUGAUUGUAGUUAAUUGAUCUGUUGUACCUCGAUAUUGACUAGAACCAUACUGCUUGUCUGCAAACCGGUUAUUGUCAUCCAUCAUUUGUCAACCUCUCAUAUAGAAUAUUACAAUCAAGCUUGUAUGCGACCUAGUAUAAUGCAAUGCCUCUGUUAAACAAAGAAACAGACGUGCCUGCCAUGUUGCCUUAAAUUUGUGAUUUCUAAUAAUCUUGGUUUAUGCAAACAAAACGGACACCGUCAAUUUAAAAUUUACAAGCGUACAAUUUGUAGAAAUGUGAAUCUGCGUUUCAAAAACCCUAGUUAAAUUUAAUUGAUUCAAAGCAUAUUCCGCCUCCGUUUAAUAUCUUAGUUAUCUGUUAGUUUAGGAAUAACUUUUUCAUAUUGGGCCAUUAUGCAUAAUAAUUCGCCUUUUCAGAAUUUAAAAGACUAUGGGUAAUCUCAUUGUUUGUACACCAAAAUGAAAACAAGGUCACGUCAGUGAUUUAAUUUCUAUUGUUUAUCACGUUUUGAACCAAUCACAACGCUUUUCGAAAUAUUACCCAGAAUGCAUUAGAUUCUGAAUAGGUGAAUUACUGACUCACGAUCUGCCGUUAACCAUUGUUUUGUAAAGAUUUUGGACUGCGUAACUUAUGUUGUACAGUUUCUUUUUUCAUACCGUGUAUUUGCAUUGAAAAUUCCAACUUAUAAUAUCUCUAGAUAUUACUAAUAGACUAAUGGUUAAAAUGUAUUUGUUGUAAUGCUUGAUUCGAAUGGUCGCAAAGAUGUAGUAUUGCAGGUUUCGUUUCACCGAUUUAUUGGAUUAUCAUUAUAAAAGCCAAUCGGUUAAAAAAAAAUUUUUUUUCAUAUAUGUAUACGUAGUAAUUAUUACUGCAUGGUUGCAAUAGGUGAGCGAUUUUUUUUUUUUGGGUUUACUGUUUGGGUCCCUUUUUUUAUUUUAUCAAAAAGCUCAUAAAGUUUAUGCCAUGAAGAGGGGGAUAUACUAGAGAAUAGGAAUAAAACAGUAAAAAGGACAGAUAUAACGACAAGGAAAAGACAAACAAUAGUUUAUAAAACACCAUACAGAAAAAUUGAUCUGAAAAAUAAAAAUUAACACAGGUACCUAGACAUAAAAAUAUAAUUAUGUUUUCAUUUCAAUUAGAGAAGACAUGUUUUUAAGGAAAGAUAAUGGGUUUGAAAUAUAAUACAAAUGUCAGGCUGAACGAUCUAAUUAUUUUAUUCCUUCCUGUAAGUCUGCAUACUUCAGAAGUCCAAAAGAUAAUUAAGCAUCUGUACGCCUAGAAAUCAAAUUAAUAAGUUCUCUGUAGGAAAACGGAUAACGUGAGAAAAACAUUGCUGUCAAAUUAUGUUGUCAAAGAGAAACUUAUAUGUACUAACAGCCUAUUAUUGACAUUAACAUGCUCAUUUUGUGUUCAAUAUUAUGUUUAGGAAAUCAUUCAAAUUUUACCUACAUAGCUGUAAAGCAAAACACAAACACACUCCACAUUGAUUACAUGAAGGAUGACGGAAUAAAUAUUAAUGCGUUAUGAAUAAUGCGUUAUACAAUAUAUUUAUUUUUAUUUCAUAUUAUUAUGUUUUUAACUAUUUAAAUGUGUUUAUCUUAUUUCAAUUAUUUCCAUUUGAGCCUCACUGAAGACUCUUUUGUAGUAAGAAUGUGAGUCCGACAAGUAAAUUAUAAGACCAGUAUCUAUUAUGAGCUUAUUUACAAGCACUGAGUCGAUGCCACUGCAGGUGGAGUUUUUAAUUCCCCGCGGGUAUCACCAGCCCAGUAGCCAGCACGUAUGUGCUGACAGGAAUUGUCAUUGAUAUGGUCAUAUUUAUAAAUUAACUGUUUAGAACACUUUUGAAAUUUUGAAAAACUAAGGCUUUUCUACUUCAGGAAUAGAUUACCUUAGCUGUAUUUAGCAAAACGUUUUGGAAUUUGGUCCUCAAUGCUCUUUAACUUCGUAUUUAUUUAGCCUUUAUAAUAAUUUGGAAUUCGUCACUGAUGAGUCUUUUGUAGACGAAACGCGCGUCUGGCGUAGUGACAAAAUGUAAUCCUGUAUCUAUGAUGAGUUUAUUUUCCUCCUCUGAGUAUCACCAGCUCAGUAGGCAGCUUCGGUGUUGACAUGGAUUGUUAAUAAUAUGAUAAUAAUUGUGAAUUGCCUGUCAACAAAACUUUUGAGGAUUUUCUACCACAGGAAUAGAUAACCUUAGCUGUAUUUGUUAAAACCUUUCGCCUUAUAUAGUCAUUUAGCUGUUCAACUUCAUGCUUCAAAUAGCUUUAUAAUAUUGUUAAUUUGAGAGUCACUGAUGACUCGAGUCUGGCAAACAAAUAAUAAGCCUAGUUUCUAUAAUGAGUUUAAUUACAACCAUUGGGUCAAUGCCACUGCUGUUGGAGGUUUUCCUUAUCAGGGUAUUACCAGUAGGCAGCAUUUAUGUGCUGUCAUAGUUAAAAAUUAUCUGUUUACAAAACUAACAUAAAACAAAGUAUUUUCUACCCCAGGAAUGGAUUACCCUAGCUGUAUACAAUGUUAUGCAAAGUAUCAUAUUGUAUUGAAAUACCCUCUGAUAGUAUCGAACAAUGACAUGUUCCAGUGGCAACGUGCUGUUAAAUAUCGCUCAAUAUUUAUGUUGAUGUCCAUUUGAAGUCUACAGAUACAAUCUUAAUGGCUUCCAUCAAUAAUUCUCAUGGUCAUUCAGAUGACUUUCUACAUGGUAAAGCACGAAUGAUAUGCCAUCGGUGUAUAAUAGUCGUAUAUAAAAGAAGAAAGUGUAUUUAAAUUGAUUUAUGUAAGUCAAUUAGAUAAACACAUUGAUUUGUAAUAAUUAUGCUUAUUGUAUUAACCAUUUAUAUAAAUGUAAACUUUGAGUAACUUUCCACUUUAAUUGACACUUUUUUUAAUUUGAUUGCCAUGUCCAUGGAUCAUUACAUCUUAGACAAAAGAUAAAAAAAAAUAAUUACUGAUAUUGUUAUAACUAAUUCAAAUUUCAAUGAGAAAUGCAACAAAAAUAUGAAAAACUUAAAUUAUCAAAUAUUUUCUGUGUUUUGAUAGUUUUUGAAAACAAUGCAUAAUUUCGAUUGUUUGAACUCUUAGAAUAUCAAUAUUGCUUUCUCUGUCAUUAAUUAUCACAAUUUAUUUGAUUGGAGCGCCCAAGAUAUAUCUUAAUUGCGAUUUGUUUUUUUUCUACUUCAAUUUUAUUUCUUAAUCGAGUAUGAGUUUUCAACAUCUGUAAACUACUGUUUAAACAUAAACGAAACGAGCGACUAACGUACUAAAUAAUAAGCUUAGUAUAUUUGAUGAGUUUUAAAUCUAAAUUUUCUGUCAAUCACCUUUUAAUUCCAAUCAGUGGGAAACCAAAACCUUAUUAUAGGAUUUUACAAAGAAAUCAUUUUCACUAAAAAAUAUAUGACUUUUAGUGAUAACAGCCCUUAAAUUGAUCUCGCUAAAUGUGAUUUUUAUUAUCUUCUGGUUUGUUGUUUUGAAGUUGUGGAAAGUGAAAUUUUCUCUGAUUUUAAAAUAAUGGCGUCUUACCUUUCGUUCGUUUAUGACACAUCAGUAAAUUUAAUCAUUGCUGUUUCGUUAUAGUCUUGCCACCUAGUGGUUCUACUUUUUACUACCUAUAUGUUGCCUUCCCACAUUUUUCAUGAUUGUGUUGCCUCUAACAGGCUGACUAAGUUUUUUCGUUUAUAAAUUGUUUUUGUUGAUGAAAUCCUGAUAUUGACUUUUCGCCAAUUUAUGUUUGAUUGAGGUCAUGUCACGUAGAUGUUCCGGGAUUAUAUUCGACGUUUCUUUAAUAACCGAGGAGGCCAUACGAUAAAACACCCCGUAAGGGCAAACAGGGUAAAUCUAUUCAAACCUUCCAAAAUUAUGUUUAUUUUAUUGAUAAAUGAACAGGUUAAUGUGAUCUGGAAAAUAAAGUGCAGAAAUGUCAUAAACAAGUUGAAAUUUACUCAUGUGACCUAAACUGAGCAAUUUACACAUAGUAUUUGAACAAAUAGAUAUAACCAACAGCCUCAUCCAAAAGAUAGAUUACCAACAUUAACAAGUAUGUAAAAUACAUCUGUUAGUAAAGUCUCUCUUUCGGGUUACGCUUUUUUAUUCAUAUCUAACUAUUGAUAACAAGAUUUUAAAGAAGCUUUUUUGGCGGUUUAUAUAGUUUUGCACUAAAUUCUAACACUUGUAUGUUCCAAAGCAAAUAUGCAAUACAUUCAGAAUUCAAAAAUGUAAGUACGAAGAAUGUCUUAUGGACAUCUUACGGAUAAUAUUUGAUAUAUUUAUGAUACUUUUUGAUUUUCAAAUUCAUGGGAUCAAUAAAGCGACCAUUUCGUACCUUCUUCUAUCGUUUUUUUUUAAUAUAUUUUCUACUUCCACCCAGUAGUUGUUCUCUUUUCCUUCUUAGUAUCGCUAAUUUUCGUGACGAUUUUGAAGAACAAAUAGUUUUAUCUAUAAGGACAUGAAAUGCAUUGCUGUUCGUUUUUAUUAGAAUCGAGUAUGUAGAUUAAAGCGCAUGAAAUAUACCAGGCUUAUGAUGUUGUACGCCAAACAUGCGUUUCUUGUACAAGACUUUUUUCACUGACGCUAAACAAUAACCCGUUAAAGGGCAAAUAUCAAGUUCGGAGUUAAAGAGAAUUGAGGACCCACAAAUUCUGAAAGUUUUUGCCAAAUACAGCUAAGCUAAUUUAUUCCUUGGAUAUUACCAAAUUAAUAGCUAAACAUUUUGAUAAACCACCCAUAGUGUAUUUGCUUUAUCAGUGGUGCUGUACGUGAUGAACUGAUGUGUGUUUACUAGGAACUUGAAAACUCAUGUGCUCUGGAAGGGUAAGCAGUUUCUGCUUAAUUAGUGAGAACGAAAUGAUAUAUGGUUUAUUCUGUGUCAUUUGAUAGUUUGCGCAGAGUUGUCUAGCUAGCAAUCAUACUACAUCUUUUGUUAUGGGGUAUACCAUCUUCGCUAGCCAAGAGUUACGAUUCACUCAUCAGGGGAGGGGAGUGGGUCGUAACACUUGGCUAGAGAUGAUGGGGGUAUACAUGAAUUUUCAUUUUGAUGUUUAAAAAGAUACCACUUCCAGAUUUAUGAGAUUAAUCUAUUAUAUUUAUAUACUAGUACUUAAUUAACAACAAAUGAAACUCAUCACCUCCGAUGAUUUCUUUUAAAUCAAAAUUGGUGUUGCAUGUUUACAAAAUAAUUGAUUGUAACGAGUUAAUAUUUUUGACACAACUGAUGUAAUAAUACCAUCAUCUAUUGAUUGAUUGCUUUACGCCGCAAAAGCACUACAAACAUCUAUAAUUAUUAAAAAAAAAUCCGAGUUUUAAUUUUUGAAAUCUAAAAAAAAUCCCACACCUUCGAUUUUAAAUAUAGUUUUUUACAAGUUCAUGAAAAGUAAAGUCGUGUGUAUCUUUUAACAUCUCAUAACAACAAUACAGACAGAAAUUUAAUAUUUCUUAACCAAAUUCUCGAUUUCAGAUUAAUUUUGAUUUUUGACUUUGAUUUUUGAAAUUUCCCUUGUUGCAACUAAAAUAUAAACGUCCUUGUAAAUUCAGAAUUAGUUUAAAGGUUAUGGUUAAAAUACAAUAAAUUUCGACCAAUUUGUAGCAGAAACUAGAAACUGUGUCACUUUAUUAUACGUUAAUUUGUGUUGCGUUAUUUGUGUUGUUAAGUACAUAUGGUACAAUGUUAAAACGUUUACUAGAAUUUUAACAGUGCAAUAACAUAAAUAUUUCGUUUUUUUUUAUUUGAAUUAUAAGUUUUCACGAACACGGUGCUUAAUUAAGGCUAAACACGUUAUUUCCAUGCUUUUUGAGGCAUUUCAUAAAAAUAAUCACCAGGUUUUUCCCAUAAACAUAAAGAACUCCGCAUGUACCUUUUGUUAGCGUUUUCUUCUUUCAAACUGAUUAAACUUAAGGAAAAAAAUACCUUGGAGAUUAAUAUUACACUUUACAAGUUCAAUGUGGCAACAAAUUGGCAAAUUCUAUAGAAACUGAAAUAUGAUCAAUUUGUUUAAUCAGUUAUAUGCUUGGUUAGGCAUUGUUAUUGACAUAGUGAAAAUAACCAUAACUUUAUGGAUAUUACUUUAUCAAGGGCAUAAAGGCCAGAGAAGCCAAUUAAUCGUUAUUUGUUGCCACAUUUAUGGAAACUUACCACCAUACAAUAACUGUAAUCACGAAAUUAGACAAUGCUGUGAAACUUCUUUGUUUUCUUUUAUGUAGAUAUUUCGCACAUUGUAAUUAAUAUUAUUACAAAGAAUUGAUAUUAAUGAUCAAACUGAUCUUGAAUAAUUUAUUGUUUAAUCAUUUAUGUUUGUUAUGACAGUUUUACAAACAAUAUAUAGAAGAAUUAUGCAACAUUAUAAAAUCGGGUUUUAUGCGAUUUAGUGAUUUAUUUGCGUUAUUUUCUAAUGAAUAUUUCCUUUAAUAUUUAUCUAAAUAAGCCUUUCACUUUGAUAUCAUACUUAACGUUUGCUAAACAUUAUUUGAGUAUAUAUUGUUGGCUUAAAAACUUAAAAAGUUAAAACUAUUUAUCCCGAAUGGUCGUUUGAUCAUAUAAUUGUACCGCAUAGAUUGACUUUAAACUCACUAAAUAAAGAUAAAUCCGGUAAAAAGGUCAAGAAAGGCUUACUUAACUACAAUUUGUGAGAAUAAUUAACAAAAUUUACCGUUUGGUUAAAAAAAAUAAUGAAAUGAAUACUGAGUACAUGUUUGAACGUAACGGUCUCUUUGACCAUGCAAAUCUUUUAAAUGCAUAUUCUGAGAAAUACUAACGAGUUGCAUUCAUCUAAAUGAUCGAACAUAAUCUAAUUGUAUUAUUGGAAUAACCAUGCUUUACAUUUCUCGUCUUAUAAAGUCAAUAAUUAUACUUUAGCGACAUUUGAGGUUGACAAUCUGACGGUCAUAAUUGGAAGUUCAAAGUAUUUCGACGUCUGAAGGAACAAUCUAUCAAAACACAUCAACUUAUAAUUUCACUGUCACUUCACAUACUAAUGACCACUCUGUUUGGUUCCAUUUUUAAACGAUAAAUUGAGAGCCUCUUAUGUCAAAAGAAUGUCAUUUAUUUUCUUAGUUGAUGUUCUUUAGAAUUAAGAUUAAAUUAUGUGGUAAGAACGUAAAUGUCACUGUUCAUUUGCCUGAAAGUUUUUGAAAUAAAACAGUGCAUCGGAAAUGUCCAUAAAAGGAGUUAUUUCGAUUUCAAAAGCGCAUUAGACGACACUGUGGUCUUGGAUCAGAUUUCUUUCGAUGUAACAAUUACUUAACUAUUUUCGCUUGUAUAAUUUUAUUAUCGAAUACGUUUUCACAUAAUUCUAAGUCGUCAUUAAACCUUUUAUUAUUUUAUAACAAUGCCUUGUUACAGUGUACCAUUUACCGAUUAUUCUGUCCCCGCCAAUCACCAUACACGGAACAAUAUUACCCUAUCACUAGUAAGGUAAGUUUGUCUGCAAACAUAGCCUUUUUCAAAAUUUCCUGUGGCAGUCUCUACUAUUACCACUUACCAUUUCUAUCUUAUUUUGUACGAUUUACUUAUUUGAUGAAAUUAUUUGAUUCCCUCUGAACAUAGUUCAAAUUUAAAUGUUUGGCACUUAAAGUUAAGCAAACAACAGUAAUACAUUCGGUAUCGCCUUGAGUAAUACUAACUGUUGAUUUGCAUACUGAUCUUUAAAUGUUAGCUUUUAUUUAUUAAAACAAGUAUUCAUGAAAAGUAUGUGAUUCAGAUAUGGAUUAAAUAUGACAACUGGAAAGUUGAAAUCAUCAAGUUUGUUUCUAGUUUGAAUUUAUCCAUUUAUUUUAAUUCUAAAGGAAAGAUUAAGAUAAGAGGCAGACAUUCUAGUUUUGAUAAUAUGAUAAAUCACAUCUAUACUGUGAUAUAUGGGAUGCAAGCAAACACUGAAAUAUGGGUUAUUGAGAAACAGGCCAUCAUCAAUGUAUCUAAAGGUAAAAUAAAGUACUUUACAAGGCUUUUUCGGUUUUGCAUUUCAAACGGUAUUGUUUGAACUUUGCUUCAAAGAGGUACGAAAACAUAUGGUUCGAAAUCAGAACCCAUUGCGAUACUGACUGUUUGCUGAAAUAUCAAUCCAACAGACCAUGCCGUUGUUAUAAAAGUGCAGCAUUUCGAAAAUAUCAUCUGUGGUGUAUUUGUUUACUGGAGUUUUAUUUUAAAUGAUGUUUUUAACUCUGUACAACUUCAAAACAUUUUGUAUGACCUAAAAUAAGAUCUUUGUAUCUUCGAUUCACUUUUUGUAAAAUAAAUCUCUGUUUAAGGAGACGAUCUCAUAAAUUGAACUUUUAAUAUUCCUGCUAAAUUCUGAAGAAUCCUUUUUUAGAUUAUGCAGUAGAUUAUUGAAAGUUUUAGGAAUCUACAUCAGAAUAAUUACAUUUCAUUUAUGUUUCAGACCAAUUAUUUUGAUUAGAUAACAACGCUUAAGAAAUGUUCCAUAUAUGGUUUCAAUUACAUUCUGUUUAUAUAUAUAUAUAUAUUUGAAUACCAUAACUUGUUAUGUUUUCUUAGAUAUUUACAGUGCGGCAAUUUUGUAAAUGCUGUGUCAUUUGGGGAACCGCAUAGGGACAAAAAUUUCUUUAGAUUUCUUUGCACUUGUGUUUUUGCAUUUGACCGUGAAUUUUGAAAAUACUUUGUCUGUGUUAACUUGCAUUGUGAGUUCUAAAUGAACUUUUUAAAGUUAAAGGUGUGAUCUUUAUAUACCAUUUCAACCUACCAUAUUUUCAAGCCAGAAAGUGGAAGACAUAUGUCAUAUGAUAAUCUGUUUUUUUCUUUUUGUAGAAGUGUAUGAUAAAAUCAGAUAUUUUUAGUUUUGUUUAAUGUAUUCCAAACAAUUAGAAUCCGGACAAUUUAUCUGUAGGUUUAUAUAAAUGCACCUGCUGCUCACUAAAUAUAUUUUAGUCACUCUGUCUCAUUGACGUAUACACCUUAUCACUAUUCCUGGCUAAUCCGAGAAUCUGUCCCACUUGAACUAUUGACGUCAUAAAACAAUUACGUUUCAAUUGUGGCGUCAGCUAUUUUGUAUUAUGAUGUCAAAAUUUUACGGGAACCUGUGUGAUGCCCAGUAAUGUCGGACAGAUAGCGAUUAGGUGUAUACUCCACGUCUCUUUUCAUUUAUAUUCAACACAAGACAUGUUUUAUACAGUUUGUCAAACUCUAAACCCCCGUGAGACUACAAAACACCGUAGAUAAACUACAAAACACUGUAGAUAAACUACAUAACACUGUAGAUAAACUACAAAACACUGUAGAUAAAUAAUAAAAUAAAUCACCGUGAGACUACAAAACACUGUAGAUAAAUAAUAAAAUAAAUCACCGUGAGACUACAAAACACUGUAGAUAAAUAAUAAAAUAAAUCAUCGUGAGACUACAAAAAACUGUAGAUAAAUAAUAAAAUAAAUCACCGUGAGACUACAAAACACUGUAGAUAAAUAAUAAAAUAAAUCACGUGAGACUACAAAACACUGUAGAUACAUAAUAAAAUAAAUCAUCGUGAGACUACAAAACACUGUAGAUAAACUAAAAAACACUGUAGAUAAAUAAAAAAAAAGACUUACAAAAACCUGCCAAUAACACAUACGUUCACCGUGAGACUACAAAACACUGUAGAUAAAUAAUAAUAAAAAAAGACUUACAAAAACCUGUCAAUAACACAUACGUUCCCAAAUAAAAAAAAACAUUACUAAAUAAACUUAUCAUAGAUACCAGGAUAAAAUUAUGUAUUUACGCCAGACACGCGUUUCGUCUACAAAAAAUCAGUGACGCUCGAAUAAAAAAAAGUUAUUUAGGCCAAAUUAAGUACAAAGUUGAAGAGCAUGGAUGACCAAAAUCCCUAAAAGUUUUGCCAAUGCUCCCCUACAAAAAACACGGACAAGCAAUCAGAAAAAAGAAAAAAAACAGAACGAAAAAAUACCGUUAUUGCUGUUCGAGAUGAAGACUUAGAAUAAGCACAUUUGAACUACAUUCUGCAAAAUCAAUCAGUCAUUUGAUUAGCUAAAAGUAUAUUAAGUGCUUACAAGAACAAAAACAAAAACAAUAUUGAAAACCAUUAACUCUAUAACAUCGGUAAAAGGAAAUACAAAACUGCACUAGUACAAACAAAAAGAUAAUAAUCAAAAUUAUAUAGAAGAAAGAAUUAAGAAAUUAAUCUGCUUAAACAUUCCAGUAUCAGAGGCUGCCUUUAUUCAUUUUAAAAUCGAAAAGGAAGCCAAUUUCUUUUUUUUAAUUAAGUUGUCUGGUAAAAAUUUAAAGUAAAUCUCCUUACGAAAUAUGAUGUAGGUAAACAACAGAGUGUUCUCAAAGAAAAUUUUCCAUGAUUACACAAGUAGGCCGUUCAUUGAAUUAGAAUCAUAAGUAACGCCAAUUUAUUCAAUAUGCUCAUUUAAACAUAACACAUGCAUUUUAAUUGUAACAAAUCUCAGAUGUCUUUACCGAAAUAAUGAAGUUGUAAGUCCAAUUCAAAUUAUUCAUUUGAAAUAAUGAAAUUUAAAAACAUGUGGGUUAGGGUUGAUUUACAAGUAUUGUAAAAAGCUGAUCAUUCCGAAACGUACAAAAGCUUCUUUAUUUUCGCUUCCGUUUACUGUUCCGAAGCAAAUGUUCAAUUACCCAGAAUUCCAUAGAGAAGAUUUAUCACUCAUUGAAAGCAACGUGGUGUAAAAUCAUAUCAUGGAAAGACUUUUAAAUUCUAUUAAGCAACAACUAAACGUUUUUAAAGAUUAGAUCAAAUCAAAUGCCAAAUUGAAUAUUUCUUGGCAGGAAACUCUACGACGUGAGGAAUAAAUAUAAAAUCGAUUCAGUCAUUGCUUUAUCCUGGAAAAACUAUAGUUGUACAAACAGGACGCAACAAGUAACACAAUUAAAACAUGCAAAAGCCAUACAUCUCUUAAGUAAAGCACAUAGUCCUUAGCUAUCGCACGUACAUUAGGGAAAAGCAGGAAAAUUAUUAGUCUAUAGUAUGUAACUAGGCGGAAGUGGAAAAAUUCAAAUCUAUUACAGACGUAAUUAAUCGGAAAUUUAUUUAGGCAUACUGUUUCAUUGUGUCAUUUAUAUCUGAUCAAAUUUGAUAUUGUAUAUAAACUCAUUUAUGGUGCGGUUAACAAUAACGAUAGUUUUCAGUUAGAUGUAGGUUUUUGUUGCAAUAGUUACAACUUGGAAUUGUAGAUUUACAACUUUUAGUUUUAGAUAUUCAACGAAAAACUGUUGAUUUAAAAAAAAUGUAAUAGUAGUAUCAUUACUUCAAUUCUUUUCCGUCGUGUUGGUAUCAAUAGAUUUUAUAAUAUUAUUUCAUUACAGGAGUACAUGAUAUCAAAAUACUUUGGAAAAGGGGUCAUAUAAAAAAAGAGAUGUGGUAUGAUUGCCAAUGAGACAACUGUCCACAAGAGACAAAAAUGACAUAUUCAUCACAAGGUGCAUCAAAAGAGUUUUCAAAGUCAAUAUGCGAAAUACUUUAAAGGAAAAGAAACGUUAUGAUGCAUUUACUCGUGAUACUGAAUCAAUACAACCACUUUACAAAACCAAAAUUGCUGUUCUUUAUCUAAAAACCUUAAUAAGGCCUUCACUAUAAAUCAAAAGAAAACAUAUCAUCGGAAGUUCAAAACGACUCUCAGCUCCGGUUUCAACGCAAUUCCUUGCCCGCUACGGUUGCCCAGUAGUUUUUAUCGUUUUACAGAUACGCAGUUGUCCCUUAACAACCCCAAUAGCCUUUGCUUAGAAUCGUCUAUAGCAAUGACAAUGGCAGUCUUUUAGUUUUUUUUUAUAACGAAAUGAUCUGAACGUUCUUAAUUUAUUUAUGUGUGGACACUCAAAUAGCAGUUGAUCAUAUUGUCAACAUGUUUCUAUCUGAUUACUUAAAAAAAAAACCUUGGCAUUUACAAUGCAUGAUUUGAUAGAAAUACAAUAUCCUCCAAAACGAAAAUAGAAGAAGAUUGUUCAUGAAUUUAUCAUAUUACAAAAUUUGUACAAUACACUUGACAUGUUUUACCGAAAUAGGAGCCUUCUAAGUUGCAGAUCUAUAUAAAAAGGGUGAUAACAGAAAUUUGAUAAAGGAGAUACAAAGAUGUAUAGGUUUGACAAAGGAUUCUCAAAACAAGGACAUGUAAAAUUGCAGUUCAUACUGAUAGAUUUUAAUUAUCAUUUUUGUCUGUAAUUAUUCAUAGAGUUCGUAAUAAACUUAUUUUCUUAUUCUUAACACUUUUAUUCUGUACUUGUUUGUAGUGUACAUAGACUAUCAAGUAAAGAAUGAACUCGUUUAUAUCUAUUGUAUGAAUAUUUCGAUACUAUUGAAACCUGCUUAUAAAAUUUAGGGAUCACAUAAUUGAGAGGCGAAUUUUCCACCGUAAAUGAUAGUUUGCGUGAGCAACGUACCCAUGUGAAUAAGAAUAUGUAGAUCUUUCAUUGUUGAAUUGGUAAAUUUUUCAAUAGUAAGAUUUUGUUAUUCCCAUUUGUACAUUUACUAUUUUUAUUCCAAACAUUCAUAAAAAUGAAUAUAUCAUCCAAAUUAUUUACAUGACUGAGCUGCGUCGUAUAGAAAUCGACCUUAUGCAAGUGCACUUCUACAUGUACACGUAGAAGACUUUAAAGUGCACGUCUACAUGCACGUAGAAGACUUUAGAUUGUUGUUAAAGUGCAGUACACACGUAGAAGACUUUAAAGUGCACGUCUACAUGUACACGUAGAAGACUUUAAAGUGCACUUCUACAUGUACACAUAGAAGACUUUGGUUGAUUUUGGAAUAUUCAAAUACGAAACCGAGGUUGAAUUUGUAUCUGAUUUGUAGGGUUCUUAUAACAACACAGUUUAUAAUAGUUACAGACGUUUCGUAGAGAUUUGUUCAACUCGAAUUAGAUGGACAGAAAAUUGAUAGUCAUUUGCUUAACGUUUUAAAAUGGAUUAAAAUUUGAAAAAAAAAUGCUAUUAAUAGUUAAAAAAAAAAUAAAUAAAAAGAGUAACGGGUUAUUUUGUGGUCUUGUUGAUUUCAUCUUUUUAGUAUAAAAGUGAACAGAUUACAAUAUUUUUCAAAUCGUUUAUAUUUAUUGACCCGAUACUACAAGUGGUUAGACGUUACAAUCAUUGAUCAACUUUAAAAUUAUCUUCAUAUGGAAUAAAACCAAAAAAUAACAACCGAGCGUCCCUAAUAAAUAAAUAACAUAUCCGGGGAAAAAAACAUCACAAGUGUAGUGCAAGUAGUAAGAAAAUGAAAUGUCAUAUUCAAAUAUAACUGAUCAUGUUUUGUUUGGUAAUUUAAUUAGAAUUAAUUAUAUUUAAUAAAAUGAUGUUAUAUAACAUAAUCGAAAAAAUUAUCAACCACAAUGAACCGACAGUCAUUGAUAUCUAAGAUAUAUUGCUUUUUGAUAUUCGAUUGAAUCUUGAUCCCUUAUCAGUCCCAGGAACAGACAUUUGAUUGCUUAAUAUAUAGAUUGCUCUAUUGUUUCUGUCCCAGAAGAACGUAGAUUGAAGGUCAUCGGAACGUAAUGGAAGUUAUACAAUCUGAUUCAAAAUAUAGAUUAAUUGAGUUUACAAAUAUUGGAUGAAGUGAAGUCCAGUGUUACACUUUUACGUGAUAUUACAAGGAAUUUAUAAUUUCAGUGAUAAAAAAUAAUUUAUCUUAUUCAGUCUGUGAAAUGUGGCUCCGUCAAUGAUUUACAAUGUCACACUUGGUGCUAACAACUUAUUGACAUAUCUACUUGUCUAUAAGAUGCUUUUAUAUGACAUGAUAGACAUCGACGGAUUAAUGGGUGGUUUUAGUAGUUUAUCUUAUGUUUCGAUUGCCUAUCAACAUUGAAGUUUGAAAUCGAACCCCGCACGUGACAGGUGGGUUGUACUCCGAUCAAUUAAACUAGGAUUGCCAGUCUUCUUGGCGAUGAUUUAUGGUUUAUAUCGGACAUCUAUUCUCGUUGCUGGCUGACUGCGAUUGCUCUUGAAAACUUAUUCGGCAAUCACGCGGUGUCUAUUGAGUAAAUGAAAUAUGUAAUGACUUAAGAUUGUAUAGGGUGAAAUUUUUUCCAACAAAUUGUUACAUGUAAUGACAAUGCGCAACUAUCAAUUAAUCUAAACUAAAUUUUAACAACAAACAGUAGAAUAAUGACAAGCAAUAUUACCAAGAAGGGACAUAAAAGAAUUAUCAAAAACAGUUAGUGUCAUCUUUUUCAGGGGCCAAUUUGGAUGAUUUUUGCCAUUUGUUGUUUUUUGUCGCCGCCUUACUUCUUGUGUAGUUAGAAUAUUGCUAUGGAAACACAUCGGAGUACAGCACAUUUGUAGUACCCUAUUUUCAAUAUGUUUACAGUUAGUAAAAAUCUGUUAUUCAGUCUGCUUUAUGCAUGCUUGCUUCACAUGUUUAUCAGAAUACAACUAUCCGUUUGACUAUGAAAAUAGCUCAUAUGGCAUUAUAUUUGUAUAUUGGAGCUGUUUUUCUUGCAAAUAAUUAUCUCCAGUUCCUAAUUAUGUCGUUCGUUAAUAUCAAGCUGCGCUGCUUUUGUUCCGAAUCACAUCUGAAAUCAUUUUGAAAAUGAAUUUCAUGCGUAUUUAUUGCAUUAAACACCAGUUUAUUGGAUGCAGCACACUACUUAGUUAACACUUAUCCUUUGUUUGUUUUUUCUAGGAUUUAUUCAUGUCCUGGAUAUAAAAACAUAGCUUUAUUGUUUAUAGGAGUGAUCAAUAAGUAAAGAAUUCGUUUAGGGAUGUAAAACAUGCAGAGAGGUUAACGUAAUUGUUGUUUUUGCAAUUAUUUUGUAAAAGUUGAUGGAUUGUUGGUGCUUAACUUCAAGUGACAAAUUUAAAAUCCAUAUUUAGAAUAGAAAACGUCAUGUGGUUACAAAAGGGUUAAUCGAAUAAUUUUGAACCUCUUUAAACUAGCCAUUUAUAUUUGAUUUCAAACUUUUAUUUACAGCAUGCCACAAACGCAAGUCAUUAGAACUGUAACGCGGAUUAUUUCACAUUCAUGAACAAAGAGCGCCCCAGCAGCUUCAAAAUAUCCAGCAAGGAUCAUAUUCCUCAGAGGACAUCCAGGU
rnacentral:lncRNA from 1 species